GACGAACGCUGGCGGCGUGCUUAACACAUGCAAGUCGAGCGGUAAGGCCCUUCGGGUACACGAGCGGCGAACGGGUGAGUAACACGUGGGUGACCUGCCUCUAGCUCUGGGAUAAGCCUGGGAAACUGGGUCUAAUACCGGAUAUGACUCCACGGCGCAUGUUGUGGGGUGGAAAGCCUUGUGUGGCUAGAGAUGGGCCCGCGGCCUAUCAGCUUGUUGGGUGGGGNGAUGGCCUACCAAGGCGACGACGGGUAGCCGGCCUGAGAGGGCGACCGGCCACACUGGGACUGAGACACGGCCCAGACUCCUACGGGAGGCAGCAGUGGGGAAUCUUGCGCAAUGGGCG
rnacentral:rRNA from 1 species